GCAGUGGUUUCAAUAACUUGUCACCUACCAGUAUAAGAUGGAUGCCGCUACAGAUGUCAUCUUCUCAGCUUUAAAAGUUGCUUCAGCCCUGUUGACAAGUGUCCUGGUGCCCCUGCUAGCCGGCCUGUUGUUCUGUAUUUUCUCCCUGAUGUUGUUGUUCUUUGACGCCAGCGAGCCCACCGAUGUGUCACCACCAGCAUCGCUUUUAGCCAGGCUCAGGCGAGGUUGGGGGCCCAAUGGACUCCAGAUUGGACACUACAUGUGCAUGGUGAGUGGAGUGAUGCUGGCUGGGUUAGUGGCCUGGUGGAGACCUGUUCUACAAUACUGAAGGACAACCUGCAGUCCUCUAACAAAAACAUUAGGACCAAGGGUCAUCUUCCAUGGCAGCUGUGAAUAACUCUCAGUCACAUCAAGUUGGAGAAGUGCUUGCAAGCGCACAAUCUUUCAUUUAUUGUUGUGCAUCAACUCUAUCUUAGAGGCAAUUCAUUGUGCAGCAAGUGGUUGGCAUAAAAAAUUAUAAUUAUUAGAUUAGACAGGCAGAUCAGGGUAGAAGUUAAAGAAAGCUUUAGGUUUAUUUAUUUGCUAUGUAAAUGCUAUUUUUGUUAGGGUUUUACUACUUUUAGGUACUUAAUUUCUUUUUUUUGUGGUACAAUAUUUGCUCGUCCCGUGUAAGGCAAAUUUUGAUGUCUACAUUUUUUGUGCAGAUUGCAAAAUCUAGUCCAAUAAAAAGGGCAUUAUAUGGAUGGUUCUACUAAGGCAAUUUUAGAAAUGAAGUCAUAUCAUGUGCCCCAUGAAAAAUGUGGGGGAAAUUUGGGGCAUCUUCUUGAUAUCUUUCUCCAAGAAUUGCAAGGACAGCAUUAGAGUGUGUUAAGUUCAUAGGUUCAUUCAUACAACACAAACCUCAUAUAAUGACACAGAAUAAAACAUCCAUGCAAUAAGAAACCCAAAGCCAGUUACAGUGGUACAUACAUCAAUACUUUAUUGGAUUACUGAAAAAUCCAUACAAAAACAGUAGGGCAGUUGUUGCAUUGGGAUGACAAGUGUGAGGUAUGUGUAUAUGUCGGAGGGUUGAAACACACAAAAUUGUGUAGCAAUUCUACAUGUUCACAACACAGAUUCCAUCAAGUCAAAGUAUAUAUAGUAUAACAAAUACAAAGCUGACAGAAAGAGAAAAUUUGUUUAGGAUGACAUGUAAGUCAGCUUUGUGUAGCCUAAAAUUCCUUCUCUAAAACAGGCCAAAUUGGUGACGAGAGAGAGUAUAAAAGAACCAUCCCUGCAUCCACAACUUGGGCAUCUGCAUAUAAGAAAAGGCAUUUCUACACUAGUACUUGAUAUAAACCAUGACUUUCUGCAUUGUCUCCUUGAAAUUUGCAAAACAAGUUUUACACAUACACAUAAUACUGCUUGAUCUGUUUUCAUAUUAGUGAUGCUCUCAUGAAGUACAAACACUAAGGUAUCACACAUGUAUACAAAUAUAAAAGAAAGCUAGUUCUUCUCCAUGUACAUGCUUAAAUAUUAGUGCCUAAUUCUGUUGAAAAUUAAUACAGGGAAUAAAUAAUGUACAUACUGAUAGUAAUGGAAGCAACAUAGUUUCUACAGUGCGCAUAUUUAUAACUGACAAUUAUUGGCAUCUUCUAAAUGUACACAUUUGUUACAAAUUUUAGCUCCUAAUCAACAGCAAACAUUAAUAAUAUCCAAGGCGGCAUUCAGGGCAAAAGUUCAACUGACCGCUUCUAGUGACCUUUGACCAACCAUUAAUAUGCUCUAUAUCAUUUCAAGCCCCAGUCAGACAAGUAACUGUUCUAACAACUAUCUUUAAGGUGACGAGCCAAAUUUUGAAUACGUAAAACGUAGUACUAUCAUCAAGUGUUGGUAGUUACAUGUUUAAAGCUAAAACUUUCGAUCCAACACAAAAAGUUCUCACUGGGUCAGUCUGCUGAGAAAGACCAGAGUGUCUGAUCGAAAGCUCUAGGUGAGAGAACUUUUUUUGUUGGAUGGAAAGUUUUAACUUUAAACAUAGAACAUAGUACAUUUAGUUUUAUGUUUGAACAUAUCCAAUGUUGUAAAAAAUGAUAUACUUCCCCACGUUUCUGUGUCAGAAUUUGUCUAGUACAGAUGGACAAAAGUCAGAGAAACUGGUCCAUUUCACUUCAAACUAACACAUCAAAUUCUUCUUUAACUUGCCUUCUAGUAUAUAUACUAGUAUUAGAUAUACAGAACUGAUAUGAAUAUCAGUGUUGUAAAAUGUUUGUUACAAGGAAGCUUGCUGGUGAUUUUUAUAAGGCAGUUCUAAAGUUCUUGCUUCACUCUAGGGCACACACUUAAAUAAAUACAUUAAGUGAUUUGGGUACCAUGCAUUAAAGUAUGUAAAGUUUGGCUCAUAAACAUAGCGAGACUGAAUGUUAUGAACAAUAUAUGGCUAAAAUAAGACAAGCUACAU